AUCGAUUAUGUCCAAAACUAAAACCGCAUCAAUGAAUCCCACGUUGGUGUGGUAUUCAACUGGACUACAUUAAACCCCCAUGAUAUACUAUUCCUCUUAAGGGCAUCGGCUUGAAGAUGCGAUCCUUAAUAAAGUCAAAAAUCAACAAUACAAUUAG